rnacentral:rRNA from 1 species
AUUGAACGCUGGCGGCAUGCCUUACACAUGCAAGUCGAACGGCAGCACGGGUGCUUGCACCUGGUGGCGAGUGGCGAACGGUGAGUAAUACAUCGGAACAUGUCCUGUAGUGGGGGAUAGCCCGGCGAAAGCCGGAUUAAUACCGCAUACGAUCUACGGAUGAAAGCGGGGGACCUUCGGGCCUCGCGCUAUAGGGUUGGCCGAUAGCUGAUUAGCUAGUUGGUGGGGUAAAGGCCUACCAAGGCGACGAUCAGUAGCUGGUCUGAGAGGACGACCAGCCACACUGGGACUGAGACACGGCCCAGACUCCUACGGGAGGCAGCAGUGGGGAAUUUUGGACAAUGGGCGAAAGCCUGAUCCAGCAAUGCCGCGUGUGUGAAGAAGGCCUUCGGGUUGUAAAGCACUUUUGUCCGGAAAGAAAUCCUUGGCUCUAAUACAGUCGGGGGAUGACGGUACCGGAAGAAUAAGCACCGGCUAACUACGUG